rnacentral:rRNA from 1 species
GAUGAACGCUGGCGGCGUGCCUAAUACAUGCAAGUCGAGCGAACGGACGAGAAGCUUGCGUCUCUGAUGUUAGCGGCGGACGGGUGAGUAACACGUGGAUAACCUACCUAUAAGACUGGGAUAACUUCGGGAAACCGGAGCUAAUACCGGAUAAUAUUUUGAACCGCAUGGUUCAAAAGUGAAAGACGGUCUUGCUGUCACUUAUAGAUGGAUCCGCGCUGCAUGAGCUAGUUGGUAAGGUAACGGCUUACCAAGGCAACGAUGCAUAGCCGACCUGAGAGGGUGAUCGGCGACACUGGAACUGGGACACGGUCCAGACUCCUACGGGAGGCAGCAGUCGCGAAUCUUCCGCAAUGGGCGAAAGCCUGACGGAGCGACGCCGCGUGAGUGAUGAAGGUCUUCGGAUCGUAAAACUCUGUUAUUGGGGAAGAACAUAUGUGUAAGUAACUGUGCACAUCUUGACGGUACCUAAUCAGAAAGCCACGGCUAACUACGUG